UACGGAGGGUGCAAGCGUUAAUCGGAAUUACUGGGCGUAAAGAGCGCGUAGGCGGUCUAACAAGUUGGAAGUGAAAUCCCAGGGCUCAACCCUGGAACUGCUUUCAAAACUGUUUGACUUGAGAUCGGUAGAGGAUGGUGGAAUUCCUAGUGUAGAGGUGAAAUUCGUAGAUAUUAGGAGGAACACCGGUGGCGAAGGCGGCCAUCUGGGCCGAUUCUGACGCUGUGGCGCGAAAGCGUGGGGAGCAAACAGG
rnacentral:misc_RNA from 1 species